UUCACUUCAAAUAGCAUUGAUUUUUUUGUGAACCUGCCUUCAUCAUGCUGGUUAAGGAAGUUAUGUUAUGGAUCUAAGCUUUGUAGGACUAUGUGUUACAAGAUACCUUUGAAAGAUCUGCUUCACUACAUGGAACCCCAGAGUUCAUUAAUGUUGGAGAUUUUUGGAAAUUAAUUUCUCAGUAAUGUGUCUUAAGUUACAAAACAUGAAGUGUCUUACUUGUGGAACAUUGGUAGACUAUGA